rnacentral:rRNA from 1 species
UUUUGCAUAAUGAUCCUGCGAGUUGUGGUAUCUGGCAAGGUUAAGCGAAUGCGAAGCCGUAGCGAAAGCGAGUCUUAAUAGGGCGCUUGAGUCAGAUGCUGCAGACCCGAAGCUAAGUGAUCUAUCCAUGGCCAAGUUGAAACGCGUGUAAUAGCGCGUGGAGGACUGAACUCGUACCCAUUGAAACGGGUUGGGAUGAGCUGUGGAUAGGGGUGAAAGGCCAAACAAACUUAGUGAUAGCUGGUUCUCUUCGAAAUAUAUUUAGGUAUAGCCUCAAGUGAUAAUAAAAGGGGGUAGAGCUCUGAUUGGGCUAGGGCUGCUCGCCGCGGUACCAAACCCUAUCAAACUUCGUAUACCUUUUAUCGUAUCUUGGGAGUCAGGCGGUGGGUGAUAAAAUCAAUCGUCAAAAGGGGAACAACCCAGACUACCAAAUAAGGUCCCUAAGUUCUAUUCUGAGUGGAAAAAGAUGUGUGGCUACUCAAACAACCAGGAGGUUGGCUUAGAAGCAGCCAUCCUUUAAAGAAAGCGUAACAGCUCACUGGUCUAGUGGUCAUGCGCUGAAAAUAUAACGGGGCUAAGAUAGACACCGAAUUUGUAGAUUGUGUUUGACACAGUGGUAGAAGAGCGUUCAUACCAGCGUUGAAGGUAUACCGGUAAGGAGUGCUGGAGCGGUAUGAAGUGAGCAUGCAGGAAUGAGUAACGAUAAGAUAUAUGAGAAUUGUAUCCGCCGUAAAUCUAAGGUUUCCUACGCGAUGGUCGUCAUCGUAGGGUUAGUCGGGUCCUAAGCCGAGUCCGAAAGGGGUAGGUGAUGGCAAAUUGGUUAAUAUUCCAAUACCGACUUAUGGAGCGUGAUGGGGGGACGCAUAGGGUUAAGCGAGCUAGCUGAUGGAAGUGCUAGUCUAAGGGCGUAGAUUGGAGGGAAGGCAAAUCCACCUCUGUAUUUGAAACCCAAACAGGCUCUUUGAGUCCUUUCAGGACAAAGGGAGAAUCGCUGAUACCGUCGUGCCAAGAAAAGCCUCUAAGCAUAUCCAUAGUCGUCCGUACCGCAAACCGACACAGGUAGAUGAGAUGAGUAUUCUAAGGCGCGUGAAAGAACUCUGGUUAAGGAACUCUGCAAACUAGCACCGUAAGUUCGCGAUAAGGUGUGCCACAGCGAUGUGGUCUCAGCAAAGAGUCCCUCCCGACUGUUUACCAAAAACACAGCACUUUGCCAACUCGUAAGAGGAAGUAUAAGGUGUGACGCCUGCCCGGUGCUCGAAGGUUAAGAGGAUGCGUCAGUCGCAAGAUGAAGCGUUGAAUUGAAGCCCGAGUAAACGGCGGCCGUAACUAUAACGGUCCUAAGGUAGCGAAAUUCCUUGUCGGUUAAAUACCGACCUGCAUGAAUGGCGUAACGAGAUGGGAGCUGUCUCAACCAGAGAUUCAGUGAAAUUGUAGUGGAGGUGAAAAUUCCUCCUACCCGCGGCAAGACGGAAAGACCCCGUGGACCUUUACUACAACUUAGCACUGCUAAUGGGAAUAUCAUGCGCAGGAUAGGUGGGAGGCUUUGAAGUAAGGGCUUUGGCUCUUAUGGAGCCAUCCUUGAGAUACCACCCUUGAUGUUUCUGUUAGCUAACUGGCCUGUGUUAUCCACAGGCAGGACAAUGCUUGGUGGGUAGUUUGACUGGGGCGGUCGCCUCCUAAAAAGUAACGGAGGCUUGCAAAGGUUGGCUCAUUGCGGUUGGAAAUCGCAAGUUGAGUGUAAUGGCACAAGCCAGCCUGACUGUAAGACAUACAAGUCAAGCAGAGACGAAAGUCGGUCAUAGUGAUCCGGUGGUUCUGUGUGGAAGGGCCAUCGCUCAAAGGAUAAAAGGUACCCCGGGGAUAACAGGCUGAUCUCCCCCAAGAGCUCACAUCGACGGGGAGGUUUGGCACCUCGAUGUCGGCUCAUCGCAUCCUGGGGCUGGAGCAGGUCCCAAGGGUAUGGCUGUUCGCCAUUUAAAGCGGUACGCGAGCUGGGUUCAGAACGUCGUGAGACAGUUCGGUCCCUAUCUGCCGUGGGCGUAGGAAAGUUGAGGAGAGCUGUCCCUAGUACGAGAGGACCGGGAUGGACGUGUCACUGGUGCACCAGUUGUUCUGCCAAGAGCAUCGCUGGGUAGCUACACACGGAUGUGAUAACUGCUGAAAGCAUCUAAGCAGGAAGCCAACUCCAAGAUGAACUUUCCCUGAAGCUCGCACAAAGACUAUGUGCUUGAUAGGGUAGAUGUGUAAGCACAGUAAUGCGUUUAGCUGACUACUACUAAUAGAGCGUUUGGCUUGUUUU